rnacentral:lncRNA from 1 species
AGAAAGUUGAGAGGAAAUGGCUACAUGUUAGGGCAUGGUCAAAACAUAAUUGGUGCAUUGUCUUGAAAAUUUUCAAAUCAAUAAAUUUAAUCACGUGAUCAAAUCAAUUUAUUUGGCUUGAAUUUUGGUGUAAAUAAUGCACUUGAUCAAAUCAAUUACUUUUAUUUAUGUGCUCAAAGCAAUUACUUUGCUUAAAAUGUGGUGAAUGGUGCAUGUGGUUAAAUAAAUCAUCUUUAAUCAUGACUAAUUGACAUAUUUAUAUAUAAUUUCAUUUAACUUCCAAAUUAACUCUUCACUUUAAGUUCUCAAACUAUGGGCUAAUAAUUAAUAAGGUCAUUUAACUGGAUCUAACUUGUAAGCUGCUUUCCCAAUUUUUUGAAUGAUCUAGAAGGGUCCGAAGUACCUGGGUGAAAGCUUCAAGCUUCUCCUCACUGCAGCAGUCAUCUGUCUGUAGGGUUUUAGCCUCAGAUAAACCCAAUCCCCUACACUAUCCCUUUCUAUCCUCUUUUUAUCAGCGUAAUACUUUAUUCGUGUUUGAGCUUCUUGCAGGUUUUCGCGUGCCAGGGUAAGGAUGAAAUCUCGUCUUCUCAUUUCUUCUUCCACCGCUUAUACUGUUGUGGUUCCAGGCUCAAAGGGGAGGAGGGAUCGUGCCCAUACACUACCUCAAAUGGGGUAAACCCCGUAGAGGAAUGCUAUGAGGUAUUACAAGUCCAUUCAGCCAGGGCUAUCCAAUUAGCCCAAUCUUUUGGUCUAUCACUUGUGAAACAUCUGAGGUACCCUUCUAACCACUUAUUCAUCACUUCCGUCUGACCGUCGGUUCGAGGAUGGUAUGCAGAGCUCAUUAAUAGCUUAGUCCCACUUAAUUUGAAAAUUUCUUUCCAAAAGUGGCUUGUGAGUAUCGCAUCUCUAUCACUGACUAUGCUUUUGUGGUAACUUAAAUAUAUUUUCCAUGAAUGCCUUUGCAACUGUUGCUGCUGUGUAUGGAUGCGCCAGUGGUAUGAAAUGACUGUAUUUGCUGAAUCUGUCCACUAUUACCAUGAUAACACUGUAUCCUUCAGAUAGAGGCAACCCUUCUAUAAAAUCCAUACUUAUAUCCACCCAUGCUUUGUUUGGAAUUGGUAGAGGCUAUAGGGUCCCUGUUGGUUUAAGGUUCUCUGUUUUGUUCCUUUGGCAUACCUCGCAUUCUCUUAUGUAUUUCCUGAUAUCCUUCCUCAUACCUUGCCAAAAAAAAUCCCUUUUGAUCCUGGAGUGGGUCUUUAGUGAUCUGGUGUGCCCCCCCCGAUGGGGCUGCUGUAGAAUUGCUGCAUGAUCUGCUCCUGUUGUUCCUUUAAGGUUCCCAAGUGCAACCUCCCUCGGAAAAAUAAGAACCCUCCUCUGAGUUGGUACUUGAGAGGGUCAAGAUUUCCUUGUUGAUGGUGAUCCGGCAACUGCCUUAACUGAGGAUCUUGUUGGUACACUUGUUGGAGCCCAUCCCACCAGUUGAAUGUCACCAUACUGAUGGCUUUGGUUUCUUCAUAGUCAGCAUGGUUCACUUCUGGUUCUAGUCCAUUGGACAACCUGGAGAGAGCAUCUGCUGCCUUGUUUCCUUUUCCACUACGAUAUUCUAUAUUGAAAUCAAAACCUAACAGUUUUGAAAUCCACUUUUGCUGAAAUGGUAUUCCAAUCUUUUGCUCCAAAAGAUGCUUUAGGGCUUGCUGAUCAGUCCUGACUUUGAACCUGUUCCCCAAUAGAUAGUGCCUCCAUUUUCUAAUGGCUAGUACCAGGGCUAGUAACUCUUUUUCAUAAGUGGAUAAAAAUAAAUUUUUACCUUUCAAUGCUUGACUUAGGUAAGCUAUAGGCCACCUUUCUUGCAUGAGAACAGCUCCCAACCCAUUUCCAAAGGCAUCACACUCCACCACAAACAUCUUUGAGAAGUCUGGUAAUCCAAGGACAAAGAGGAGUCACCAUGGCUAUCGCAAAAGCUUGACUGGCCUCUUCACUCCACUGAAAAGAAUUCUUCUUGAGUAGGACAGUCAAGGGGGCUGCAAUACUUCCAUAUCCUCUCACAAACUUCCUGUAAUAACCUGUUAGACCCAAAAAUCCCCUUGGAGCUUUAGGAUUUUUAGGUUCAGGCCAUUCUAUUAUAGCUGUAAUCUUCAAUGGAUUUGCCUUAUCCCUUCCUUGGAAAUAACAUGACCUAAGUACUCCACUUCUUGGCAUCCAAAGACACAUUUGGAAGCCUUUGCAUACAGCUGAUGUUGUUUCAAAACUUCUAGGACAGCCUUGAGAUGCCCUACAUGCUCCUCCAUAGAUUUACUGUACACAAGUAUAUCGUCAAAGAAAACCAAUACAAACUUCCUUAGAUAUGGCCUGAAUAUCUGAUUCAUCAGCCCUUGGAAGGUUGACGGAGCAUUAGUGAGCCCAAAAGGCAUCACUAAGAACUCAUAAUGCCCCUCAUGUGUAUGAAAAGCAGUUUUGGGCAUAUCUUUUGGCUUCAUCCUGAUUUGGUGGUAGCCCGAUCGUAGAUCAAGUUUAGAAAACAAUUCAGUACCAUUAAGAUCAUCCAAUAAUUCAUCUAUGUUACGGAUGGGAAACUUAUCUUUGAUAGUAUCCUUGUUUAGAGCCCGGUAAUCAAUGCACACGCGCCAACUUCCGUCUGCUUUCCUUAUCAAUAGGACUAGUGAAGAAUAAGGACUUUGGCUUGGUUGUAUGAUCCCUGCCUGCAGCAUCUCCUUGACCAAUCUUUCAAUUUCUUCCUUUUGGUAAUAAGGGUAUCGCUAAGGUCUUAACACAUGUUGGCUUGGCUGCAUCCUGGAGCUGGAUUUGGUGAUUGUGAUUCCUGGGAGGUGGGAGUCCACUGGGUUCAGCAAACACUGUGUUGAAAUCAUUCAAAACACUUUGUAUGGCUGGCUCUAUUGGUGCCCUUCCUGGUUGGUCACCGAUCUCCAUUAUCUGCAGCCAUAGUCCUCUUCCUUCUGUUAUAGCAGCCUUGCUUAAGCUGUGUUCCUCCUCUAUAGCCUUCUCGGGCAGCUUUAGACCCUGUAGAAAUAUGUGUUUCCCUUCCACAAAGAAACUCGUACUUAAAUUAGCAAAGUUCCACUGAAUAGUCCCCGAACUUCUCAACCAAUCUACCCCUAGUACAAGAUCACACCCCCCUAGGGUUAAUAAAAAUAGAUCGGCUAGAAUAUUACAACUCUGCAUCUUUAAGAGAAAUGCCUUACAGCAACCAAGGCAAGGAAUCUUUUCCCAGAUGAUUGCACUUCACCCAAUAACAUUGGUCUUAUUUUCCAUUAGCAACUUGGACUGCCAGGUGGCCUUCUUCCACUGGUAGGUUUGCCCUCCUUGCUACAUUUACAUCAAUAAAGCUAUGCGUGCUUCCAGUAUCAACAAGAACAAUAACUGAACAAGUGCCAAUUUUGCCAACUAACCUCAUAGUCUUGGGUGAAGGUACUCCUGCAAUAGCAUGUAAUGAUAUGCCCAAUAAUUCAGCUUGGUGCCCCGCAAGUAUAAUUGCUGUAUUUGGCUGGUUAAGGGUCUCUUCUGCCUCCAAUUCCUCUCCUUCCUCUUCAAAUUCUAGUCCCUCUAAUAGGUACAGCUUGGGUCUGCUACAUUUGUGUCCUUGAUGGUAUUUUUCAUCACAGAAAUAGCAUAGGCCCUUCUCUCCUUUCUUGCGUUUGAUUGGGACUUAUGCGUUUAAUAGGAUAAGGGGUUUUUUUGUGGAAUGGUGGGUUAGGUCUUAGGGUUGGUGGGGCUGGAAGUCUUGGUACUGGGUUAGGGGCUAGUAAUCUGAGUGUGGGAUUUUGUGUUGGUAAUCUGAGAUGGGAAGGCUUGAAUGAGGCUGAGUGGGAACUAUUUUGGGCUGGGUGAUUUUGGUGGUGAAAUUGCUUCAGGAAAACCUUCUCUUCUUGUAAUCGUGCUAAACCAAAGGCAACCGAGAGGGUAUUUGGUUUGAACAUGGUGACAAUAAUUCGUAAUUCAUCUUUUAAGCCACUUAGGAAAGUACUUAUGCGAAAAUCUUCACUUACCCCACUUACUUUCUUGGACAGGAGUUCGAAGGCAGUUUGGUAUUCCUCAACGCUCCCUGUCUGCCUCGGCUUGGUAAAUGCCCAAACUGGAUCUUCAUAUGCUGAAGGUCCAAAUCUUGUGCGGAGAGCCAACAAGAAUCAAUCCCAAGUGACCAUCGGAUUUGACUAUUUCCACCAAGAGUACCAUGUCAGCGCCUUCCCCUCCAUGUGAAAGGAAGCAAUUUCCAGCUUGUGAGCUUCUGGAGUGUCGAAAUAUUUAAAGAAUUGCUGUGCCUUUAGGAUCCAUUCAUUGGGAUCUCCUCCUUCAAAACGAGGAAAAUCCAGUCGAAGAGAUCAAGCUUGGAUUCCACCAUUUCCUUCAAACAGAGGAUUAGUAUUUGUUUUUAUAUUAUUUGAAGGCCCUUCCCCUGAGCUGAGUUUGAUUGUAAUUUGCACUAAGCUAUCAUAGCUUGAUGCUAAAUUGUUGAGCUGCUGUAACACCCCUUCAAUUAGCAUUCCAUGCCUGGACUGUUCAUCCUUAAGUGCAGCGGUCUCCCCAUGCAGGUUGUGAACUGUUUCUGAUAAUUUUGAAUAGCGUGCUCCAUCCGCCAUGUCGCCGGAACACAGCUCCGAAAUCACGUUGUUAUGAACCAGAAUUCUUUUAAGAAAUUAAAUGGCUAUUCGAGGUGCCAAACCUCCAGAUUUGCUCUCGGCAAUUUGAUUAAACAGGAAACUUGAUUUCAUUAAAACUGGUCGUGCCUUAUGUUGGCAUUACAAGCAACGGUUACAUGGAGUAACUGACCCACAUACACGGACUAGUGCACCCACUAAAU